UUGCUUUGGCAGCACAUAUACUAAAAUUGUAACAAGACAUGGUCCCUGUGCAAGAAGGACAUGCAAAUUAAUGAAGCAUUCCAUAGGGGA
rnacentral:snRNA from 1 species